GGCGAGAGGUGCAGUCAGAUGCUGUAGGUAGAUGAUGGGCUGAAUGUGACGUGAAAAGCUGUUGCACAACAGGGUUGCUGACCCCAAAACAAGUGGAACUUGGAAACUCAAUUUACUAAGGAAAAUCCCUCAGGGUGCCAUGCAGUGGCGUGGAGAUGGUCACUGGAGUCCCCCAGGGAUCAGUGCUUGGUCCACUCCUUUUCUUCAUCUACACCACAUCCUUAUGGACCUAUCAUACAUGCACAUGGCUUCUCCUACCACUGCUAUGCUGAUGACACCCAGAUAUUCUUCUCAUUUCACCCAGACAAUCCCACUAUAGCAGCAAAAAUUACAGCCUGCUUCUCUAGUCUGAACUAAUGCACUCCAACUGGUUCCGAAUGCAGAAGCUCGGCUUAUUUUCCAAGUAACAUGGCUCAUCAUCUCUCUCCACUGGCUACCAAUUGAAGCACGUGUCAGGUAUAAGUCAUUACUGCUCACUUACAGAACUUUUACUUACCUAGUUGUCUUACCUUUACAAAAGGGCACUAAAUCAUGUUACCGAUAAUUUUUCUUCACUACUCUCUGCUGGUGGAAUGAUCUUCCUAUAAGAGUUCGAUCAGCCACAUGUCCCGCUACAUUCAAUAAACAACUAAAAACUCCAAAAGAUUUUCCAAAAAUACUUGACAAAUCGAUGCUGAAUGCAGA